rnacentral:rRNA from 1 species
UACGUAGGGUGCAAGCGUUGUCCGGAAUUAUUGGGCGUAAAGAGCUCGUAGGCGGUUUGUCGCGUCUGCUGUGAAAACCGGAGGCUCAACCUCCGACCUGCAGUGGGUACGGGCAGACUAGAGUGCGGUAGGGGAGAUUGGAAUUCCUGGUGUAGCGGUGGAAUGCGCAGAUAUCAGGAGGAACACCGAUGGCGAAGGCAGAUCUCUGGGCCGUAACUGACGCUGAGGAGCGAAAGCGUGGGGAGCGAACAGG